GACGAACGCUGGCGGCGUGCUUAACACAUGCAAGUCGAACGGAAAGGCCCUGCUUUUGUGGGGUGCUCGAGUGGCGAACGGGUGAGUAACACGUGAGUAACCUGCCCUUGACUUUGGGAUAACUUCAGGAAACUGGGGCUAAUACCGGAUAGGAGCUCCUGCUGCAUGGUGGGGGUUGGAAAGUUUCGGCGGUUGGGGAUGGACUCGCGGCUUAUCAGCUUGUUGGUGGGGUAGUGGCUUACCAAGGCUUUGACGGGUAGCCGGCCUGAGAGGGUGACCGGCCACAUUGGGACUGAGAUACGGCCCAGACUCCUACGGGAGGCAGCAGUGGGGAAUAUUGCACAAUGGGCGGAAGCCUGAUGCAGCAACGCCGCGUGCGGGAUGGCGGCCUUCGGGUUGUAAACCGCUUUCACCUGUGACGAAGCGUGAGUGACGGUAAUGGGUAAAGAAGCACCGGCUAACUACGUGCCAGCAGCCGCGGUGAUACGUAGGGUGCGAGCGUUGUCCGGAUUUAUUGGGCGUAAAGGGCUCGUAGGUGGUUGAUCGCGUCGGAAGUGUAAUCUUGGGGCUUAACCCUGGGCGUGCUUUCGAUACGGGUUGACUUGAGGAAGGUAGGGGAGAAUGGAAUUCCUGGUGGAGCGGUGGAAUGCGCAGAUAUCAGGAGGAACACCAGUGGCGAAGGCGGUUCUCUGGGCCUUUCCUGACGCUGAGGAGCGAAAGCGUGGGGAGCGAACAGGCUUAGAUACCCUGGUAGUCCACGCUGUAAACGGUGGGUACUAGGUGUGGGGUCCAUUCCACGGGUUCCGUGCCGUAGCUAACGCUUUAAGUACCCCGCCUGGGGAGUACGGCCGCAAGGCUAAAACUCAAAGGAAUUGACGGGGCCCCGCACAAGCGGCGGAGCAUGCGGAUUAAUUCGAUGCAACGCGUAGAACCUUACCUGGGUUUGACAUGGAUCGGGAGUGCUCAGAGAUGGGUGUGCCUCUUUUGGGGUCGGUUCACAGGUGGUGCAUGGCUGUCGUCAGCUCGUGUCGUGAGAUGUUGGGUUAAGUCCCGCAACGAGCGCAACCCUUGUUCACUGUUGCCAGCACGUUAUGGUGGGGACUCAGUGGAGACCGCCGGGGUCAACUCGGAGGAAGGUGGGGAUGACGUCAAGUCAUCAUGCCCCUUAUGUCCAGGGCUUCACGCAUGCUACAAUGGCUGGUACAGAGAGUGGCGAGCCUGUGAGGGUGAGCGAAUCUCGGAAAGCCGGUCUCAGUUCGGAUUGGGGUCUGCAACUCGACCUCAUGAAGUCGGAGUCGCUAGUAAUCGCAGAUCAGCAACGCUGCGGUGAAUACGUUCCCGGGGCU
rnacentral:rRNA from 1 species